AAGUGAUGAUAGGCACUUUCACCCCAUAGAGACCAUCCAGUCUUCAUAUGCUUAGGUAAGUGAUAUUUGUUCCUGUUUUGCCAUGGCAUUUUGAGGGCUAGGUUUUCAGGUAAGAAUUGAUAGUGUCUCACCAAUUCUGGAAGCCAUGUAAUCCUCCUGUUCUUUAUUUUAUAAAAAAUUUAUGUUUGUGUAAUUGUUGAGAGACUUGCAGAUAUCCAGGUAAUUCUUAUACAGCUGCGUGUCACAGUAGUAAUCAUGGUUUUCUUUUGCAGGUGAGCAUCCAAGGGGUAAUGCUGUGUCUAGCAAUGGCCUAGAUCUUGGAGUUACUGCAAGAUUCCAGGUAGAUUUGAUGAAUCCUGCAAGAGUGGUGGUGACAGGGUUAUCUUCAGGGUCCAGGUAGUAAAGGUGGGUCCAUAGACACAUUCGUCACAAUGCGUUUUCCAGUUUCCUGUUGAGAGGUCAUGAUGAACCUCAUAAUGAUAUGAAAGGGACAUGGCUUGCAUCCAGAUAAGUGAUAAGGUGGGCCUUUUGCACACAACAGACCAUCUGAUCUUCAGAUAUCUAGGGAAGUGUAGAUAUUGUUCCUAACUGUUGUGUUACCAUCCUUUUUUGCAGGUAUUCAGGUAAGAAAUGUUGUCCCAACCAAUGCUAGUAAGCAUUAGCCCUUAUGAUUUUAGAGAUUAAAUAUAACGUGUGUUUUUCCUUAGGAAUGACAGAAGGAUAUGUAGGUAUCCAGGAGAAGCCAUAUCAGGAGAAGAUCAGAUGCCCAGUCAAACUCUGCCUAAAGCAAAGCACUGUAUCCCCCACCUAGCCAACCUGAAGAUCCAAAAGGCACAGGCUCCGGACGCGCAGGCUCAGCGGCCAUGGCUCACGGG